rnacentral:rRNA from 1 species
UGGGGAAUAUUGCACAAUGGGCGCAAGCCUGAUGCAGCCAUGCCGCGUGUAUGAAGAAGGCCUUCGGGUUGUAAAGUACUUUCAGCGGGGAGGAAGGCGUUAAGGUUAAUAACCUUGGCGAUUGACGUUACCCGCAGAAGAAGCACCGGCUAACUCCGUGCCAGCAGCCGCGGUAAUACGGAGGGUGCAAGCGUUAAUCGGAAUUACUGGGCGUAAAGCGCACGCAGGCGGUUUGUUAAGUCAGAUGUGAAAUCCCCGGGCUCAACCUGGGAACUGCAUCUGAUACUGGCAAGCUUGAGUCUCGUAGAGGGGGGUAGAAUUCCAGGUGUAGCGGUGAAAUGCGUAGAGAUCUGGAGGAAUACCGGUGGCGAAGGCGGCCCCCUGGACGAAGACUGACGCUCAGGUGCGAAAGCGUGGGGAGCAAACAGG